CCUACGGGGGGCUGCAGUGGGGAAUAUUGGACAAUGGGGGCAACCCUGAUCCAGCCAUGCCGCGUGUGUGAAGAAGGCCCUCGGGUUGUAAAGCACUUUCAGUGAGGAAGAACGCCUGGUGGUUAAUACCCAUCAGGAAAGACAUCACUCACAGAAGAAGCACCGGCUAACUCCGUGCCAGCAGCCGCGGUAAUACGGAGGGUGCGAGCGUUAAUCGGAAUUACUGGGCGUAAAGCGCGCGUAGGUGGCUUGAUAAGCCGGUUGUGAAAGCCCCGGGCUCAACCUGGGAACGGCAUCCGGAACUGUCAAGCUAGAGUGCAGGAGAGGAAGGUAGAAUUCCCGGUGUAGCGGUGCAAUGCGUAGAGAUCGGGCGGAAUACCAGUGGCGAAGGCGGCCUUCUGGACUGACACUGACACUGAGGUGCGAAAGCGUGGGUAGCAAACAGGCUUAGAUACCCGGGUAGUC
rnacentral:rRNA from 1 species